rnacentral:rRNA from 1 species
UGAUCCGGUGGUUCUGAAUGGAAGGGCCAUCGCUCAACGGAUAAAAGGUACUCCGGGGAUAACAGGCUGAUACCGCCCAAGAGUUCAUAUCGACGGCGGUGUUUGGCACCUCGAUGUCGCUCAUCACAUCCUGGGGCUGAAGUAGGUCCCAAGGGUAUGGCUGUUCGCCAUUUAAAGUGGUACGCGAGCUGGGUUUAGAACGUCGUGAGACAGUUCGGUCCCUAUCUGCCGUGGGCGCUGGAGAACUGAGGGGGGCUGCUCCUAGUACGAGAGGACCGGAGUGGACGCAUCACUGGUGUUCGGGUUGUCAUGCCAAUGGCACUGCCCGGUAGCUAAAUGCGGAAGAGAUAAGUGCUGAAAGCAUCUAAGCACGAAACUUGCCCCGAGAUGAGUUCUCCCUGACUCCUUGAGAGUCCUGAAGGAACGUUGAAGACGACGACGUUGAUAGGCCGGGUGUGUAAGCGCAGCGAUGCGUUGAGCUAACCGGUACUAAUGAACCGUGAGGCUUAACCUUACAACGCCGAAGCUGUU